UUGGGGAAAGUAUAGAUUUUUUUUUGAGUGAUGGUUGUUGUUGUUGUUGUUGUUGGUUAAGGUUUUGCAAUUGGGGUUGUCUAAGAAGAUGCUUUGGUGGGAAGAGGGGAUUUGAGGGUUUUUAAGUUUCCUCACUCUUGCAUGACCCAAACCAUUGUGAAGCAUGGAAACAACCUUCUUGAACCUCACCACAGUUUCAC
rnacentral:lncRNA from 1 species